GCUGUAAAUCUAUUUGAUGUUGGGAACAAACAUGGUCCCAUUAACAGAAACUCAAACAAAACAGGAAAUUUUUUUAUUUUUUUUGGCAUAGACAGCCGAAAAGAAACUUACAGCAAUAGCCUCUGUCACGCUCUCCAGACGUUUAUGCAAUUUUGAAACAGCAGCAUUCAUACUACGCUUUGUCACAUACAGAAGAUCUGAGAAUUUUAGACCCUAACCAUUUGUGAAGAGCAAAUAUUAGAUUUGCUUAAAGAAGACAACAACUCACAGAACCAAUGGAUGAAAUAAUAUGAACAUAAAUAUAUCAUCUGGAUACCUUCCACCACAUGUAACCAUAACCCAAUGCCCCCAAGGUAGCUGUUGGCAUUAUUAGUGAUGUCA